rnacentral:rRNA from 1 species
AGAGUUUGAUCAUGGCUCAGGACGAACGCUGACGGUGUGCUUUAGACAUGCAAGCCGAACGAGAAAACCCUUCGGGGUGAGUACAGUGGCGAACGGGUGAGUAACACGUGGGCAAUCUGCCCCUCGCAGGGGGACAACCGGGGGAAACCCCGGCUAAUACCCCGUACGCUUACGGGGCCGCAUGGGUCCGUAAGGAGAGGUAGCUUCGGCCAUCCGGCGAGGGAUGAGCCCGCGGUGCAUUAGCUAGUUGGUGAGGUAACGGCUCACCAAGGCGACGAUGCAUAGCUGGUCUGAGAGGAUGAUCAGCCACACUGGGACUGAGACACGGCCCAGACUCCUACGGGAGGCAGCAGUCGGGAAUCUUGCGCAAUGGGCGAAAGCCUGACGCAGCAACACCGUGUGAGCGACGAAGGCCUUCGGGUCGUAAAGCUCUGUUGUUGGGGACGAAGGGUUAGGGGUUAAUAGCCCCGAGCCUGACGGUACCCUUCGAGGAAGCCCCGGCUAACUACGUGCCAGCAGCCGCGGUAAUACGUGGGGGGCGAGCGUUGUCCGGAAUUAUUGGGCGUAAAGAGCGUGUAGGCGGUUCGGUAAGUCUGCCGUGAAAACCCAGGGCUCAACCCUGGGCGUGCGGUGGAUACUGCCGGGCUAGAGGGUGGUAGAGGCGAGUGGAAUUCCCGGUGUAGCGGUGAAAUGCGCAGAUAUCGGGAGGAACACCAGUAGCGAAGGCGGCUCGCUGGGCCACACCUGACGCUGAGACGCGAAAGCGUGGGGAGCGAACGGGAUUAGAUACCCCCGUAGUCC